rnacentral:sRNA from 1 species
AAAACUCUCCGUAACACUCUGAACCCCACAUGGAACGAGACCCUCACUUACUACGGGAUCACAGAUGAAGACAUGAUCCACAAGACCCUGCGGAUCUCUGUGUGUGACGAGGACAAAUUCCGGCACAAUGAGUUCAUCGGGGAGACACGUGUGCCCCUGAAGAAGCUGAAACCCAACCACACCAAGACCUUCAGCAUCUGCCUGGAGAAGCAGCUGCCGGUGGACAAGACCGAAGACAAGUCCCUGGAGGAGCGGGGCCGCAUCCUCAUCUCCCUCAAGUACAGCUCGCAGAAGCAGGGCCUGCUGGUAGGCAUCGUGCGGUGCGCCCACCUGGCCGCCAUGGACGCCAAUGGCUACUCGGACCCCUACGUGAAAACGUGAGUGUGCCGUGCGUGUGACCACCUUCACCUCCAAGGACGGGGGUCCGUGUGCCGGCUCCGUGGUCCCAGGUGGCAGGCACCCAGGGAGUACCUGAGGUACAGGGGUGCCGUGUUCCCUGAUGGGCUACCUUGGCAACUCCAGGGGUUAAGCAUGGCCAGCCCAUUUCACAGAUGGGGAAACUGAGGGAC